rnacentral:rRNA from 1 species
CCUACCAUACAGUGGGGGAUAACCAGAAGAAAUUCUGGCUAAUACCGCAUACGAAGCACAAAUUUGAAAGUAGUGCUUGAAAGGAUGCUUCGGCAUUCACUGUUUGAUGGGCCUGCGUAGCAUUAGUUUGAUGGUGGGGUAACGGCCUACCAUGACUACGAUGCUUAGCUGGUCUGAGAGGAUGAUCAGCCACACUGGAACUGAGACACGGUCCAG